ACGCUGGCGGUAGGCUUAACACAUGCAAGUCGUGCGAGAAAGUAUCUUCGGAUAUGAGUAGAGCGGCGGACGGGUGAGUAACGCGUAGGAAUCUACCUAGUAGAAGGGGAUAGCCCGGGGAAACUCGGAUUAAUACCGUAUACCUCCUUCGGGAGAAAGAAGGCCUCUCUUUGAAGCUUUCGCUAUUAGAUGAGCCUGCGUAAGAUUAGCUUGUUGGUGAGGUAAAGGCUCACCAAGGCGACGAUCUUUAGCGGGUCUGAGAGGACGAUCCGCCACAUUGGGACUGAGACACGGCCCAGACUCCUACGGGAGGCAGCAGUGGGGAAUAUUGGACAAUGGGCGCAAGCCUGAUCCAGCCAUACCGCGUGUGUGAAGAAGGCCCUAGGGUUGUAAAGCACUUUAAGUUGGGAAGAAAAGUUAUUGGUUAAUACCCAAUAACCGUGACAUUACCAUCAGAAUAAGGACCGGCUAAUUCCGUGCCAGCAGCCGCGGUAAUACGGAAGGUCCAAGCGUUAAUCGGAAUUACUGGGCGUAAAGCGCGCGUAGGUGGUUUAUUAAGUUGGAUGUGAAAUCCCCGGGCUCAACCUGGGAACUGCAUCCAAAACUGAUUCACUAGAGUACGAUAGAGGGAGGUAGAAUUCACAGUGUAGCGGUGGAAUGCGUAGAUAUUGUGAAGAAUACCAAUGGCGAAGGCAGCCUCCUGGAUCUGUACUGACACUGAGGUGCGAAAGCGUGGGUAGCGAACAGGAUUAGAUACCCUGGUAGUCCACGCCGUAAACGAUGUCAACUAGCUGUUGGAGAACUAUGUUCUUCAGUGGCGCAGCUAACGUAGUAAGUUGACCGCCUGGGGAGUAC
rnacentral:rRNA from 1 species